GUUGCUGUGGCCACCCCUCAGAGCCAGUUGGGGAGCAGAGCAGAAGCGCUCCUUCCAUGGGUUUGCCAGGGCUGGGCCGGUGGGUGAGAGGCAGCAGCCCUCAGCUGGUACACACCGCCUUUCUGGUCAGAAAUCCAUCCUAAAAUUCAAAAAGUGACAAAGAAAUGAGUCAGUAUCUGGAUUUGGAGGUAGAAAGGUGGAAUUAGCCCUCGGGUUGGUGACACAAGAUUGGGCUUGGGCUUUCUACCUCUACGUUGCCACAGGCUUUCAUGUGAUUUUGGCCAAUUCAGUUUUUCUUCACCUCUAGAACAGAAAUACCAACACUUUCACUCCUCACAGGCUGUUGUGAGGCCUAAGACUGUAAUAUAGCCUGGUAAGAUGGCUCCAUUUAUGCCAUUGAUCAUUCUCACCAUCUGUCUAUAGAGAACUAGAUUUAAAAUUAACUGACGUAUCAGUAGGACUUAGGCACUGCGUUUACUACGUGAAGGAUGUCAAAGGAGAAGCAAAGUGUGCCAAGGCUACAAAUGCCUGUGGUACAUACACAGAAAAAGGGAAGGAAAAACAGGGUGAAUUAUGAGGAAGGCAAAAGGAGGGACUGAGAGGACAAGGUCAUGUCGUGUCCAUGAAAUCUCCUGAAUGCGAUCAGCAAGUGCCAAGGCUGGAUUUAAAAAAAAAAAAAAAAAAGCUGAAAGAACUGAAAACAGUCACAGGUUAGUAAUUUCUUUGUUCAUGGCUCUUAAGGGAAGGAAAGUAUAAUGGUAGAGGCAGAAGGAAGUGGUUUAAAAACACGCUUUAAGUCCAGAGCAUAAAGGGGACAGAUUUGACAGAUUUUUAAUCUAGGCUUCAAGGGAGUUGCUCUUUGACUAUAGCAACAUAAGGCAUGUCAGAAAUACUGGGCAUUCCUCUAGCGUGCCUUAAGCUGAGAUUAAUACAGCUGAAUUCUUUGGAUUUAGAGCAUCGUUAAACCAGGCUAAAUGAGAAGAGAGUCAAGCCUGUUAUUUUCAAAAACUUCAGAAAUGCAAACAAUGCCAGGGAGAAACUGAAGAGUUAAAGACGUUUUGCAUUUGUUGUGUACUCCUUUGGCAAACAUAAUGGAGAUGAAAGUCACAGCCUCAGAACUCAGUAGUCCAACCAUGAAACAAAUAAAAGGACCAGGGUACAAAUAUGGUGCCUGGCUAAAACCAAAUGAUAGUUAUUAAUUCAUGGGCUAAUUUGGCUUCAAAACUCCUUUGUUCUUUCCCUCUUUCCCACAUGUCUUUUGGGAUGCAAUUAAAGGUCUUGGUCUUAAUUUUUACGGUUACUAAUGUGCUGAACUACGUCGGGUUGUCGUGAUGUACUACUGUGUUCCCAGUGUAGUCAACAGAAAAACAAGAUCAACAAAAUCCAUCUUGAAAUACACAAAGCAGUUGCCGUAUUUUGUGGUUAUAGCACUUCACCAGGGGCACAAAACAAUUCCAUAGAGGUUGUGCUCCAGUGACAAAACUGAAGAAAAGAGCGGUGGUAGGGAAAUUCUGAAAACAAUGACUAUUUAUAUCACAAUUGUGUCUACAACGUGCUAGAAAUGUUUUCCAAGCAUAUAAAGACUCUAUUCAUUGCCAGAGAGCUUGUUCCUUAAAAGACAGCAUAAGGGCAAAGCAUGACAGAAAGGAACAUACAGUAUACAAAGCAAAAUGACCAACACGAUGGUUGCCAAAACGGAGGGGGAGGGUACUGCCUCCCCUCUUUCCUGUGAGUUGCUCUCCACUAGCUCCCUAGCUUGGCAUUUCCAAGAGAGCUAAUUUCUUGUGUGUGCCAGUGGAUGCUGGAAAAGAGCUAGAAAGGUGACUUGGCGGUGAUGAGACACAAUCGAUUCGCAGAGAAUGCAGAUAAAAAGUCUCUAAAGUUGUACCAGUCAUGAGGAGGAGGAUGUGGGAUAAACUUAAUGCAAGAGCCGGGAAGGGUUCAUCCAGUCGUGUUGGUGCGGAGCACAUAGGGUGCUGCCUGGCUCUGAUCCCUGCAGAAGAGCACACCUGGUUUCCUUCUGUGACAGCUGGGACACUUCAAGGCGCUCUGUGGCCCACGCUCUGAUACACCAAGGGCUCGAUGCUCUGCUCUUGCAGGUACUGUCUCCUACAAGCAGAGUACCAGGUGCUCCUGCACUGUCCUGCACCAUACGCACGCUGCUCAGCACCAUGUAAGGUGGCACACGGCCCUUGGGACAACACAGGGUCAGGCUCGCAGCCCUGGGAAUAAUCCCCAGUACUCUGGGCCACGUUGCACCCUGCCUUUUGCUUGUUGACACCAUUGCAGAGUCUCCCUAAAAGUUUUUUGCUGAAAUUAAUGAAAUAAUUUGGUUGUUUAUCACUGAAUAUCAUAAUGUUGUAAUGUUGAAAGGAAAAAAAAGCUUUCAUUAUAAUCUGAGAUUAUGAGGGUUGGGCUAAAUUAUAAGGAGAAGUAUUCUCAAUUACUUUGUGUAAACUUGAAUAGCUCAGUGUUUAACACUGCGGGAUUCCUCCAGGCUCUUCAACUAAAAUUGUUUUUGCUGUCCCUGAAUCUGUCUGAAAUGAUAUGCGUUUGCUUCUCUGGGAAUGUAGCCUGUUUUAUUACACCAGAAAUACAGUUGGGGUUGAUCAAGAGAGAUUUAUGCAGAUUAAAAUGUUAGACUGCUUUAAUAAUUGUAUUCAUAUUUAAGGAAAAGCGAGUUACAGUAGUGAGUUACAGUGUAAGACAAUGUUCUUUUUUUUUUUCUUCUAAAGAUGCUGCUACGAGACAUCUAUUUCUGUAAAGCUACAGCAAUGCAGCAGGGCUUAGAAAAAGCUCAAGACUGACUUAUUCCAGUCUUGUCCUCAUUUUAAAAUUUGUACCAUGAGAAGUUCAAAAGCUUUUUCCACAUUGUUUGUGAGGUUUCUCCAGAGGGAGUAUUUCUGGCUCUGGUUAGAAAAGAACUCCCUGUCUUGCUAAAGAUUGACAAUUAUGUACAUUUUUGGCCUCUAACUUAAGCUAGCCAGCAGGCCCUCGGGGUGCUUAAAGCCCUGUUAUGGACAGAAAGUUACUUUUAAAGAACAUUUUUUAAACGCUAUUUGAAAUCUAUGCUCUGAUACAGCGAUAAGCAGUUUGGAAAACAGGAUUCAUGUGGGUCAUAUUCAUUCUGAAGUGUUCCACAAGUUGUUCUCUAUUUUGACACAGACACGUCUAGCUUCGGAACGAGGGACUCAGAGGUAAAGAAAGUCUCUUCGGUGUUUCAGAGGGCCACAGCCAUUACAUGACCUUUUUACUAUGCAUCUGAUAUGUGCUUCCUCGCCCCAUGUCAUCGCGGUUCAGCAUCGUGACAUGCUGAAAGAUCAUCACGGUGGAAACAAUGCAGAGCAGCAUUAGGAUGGUGUGGCGGCCUGCCCUGGAUAUUUUGUAUUGCCUAGAAACUAUUAUCCAGAGCACAACAGAGGACCUCAAGAACUGUUCCUGGAGCCACAAAGUUGUGUUUUAUGAAAAGACUGGACAUUUUAUCUCUGGGUGGAGAUGCAGUUUCUUUUCCCUUUCUGCAGCUGGCUAGCUCAAUUUUUGAUAUCCUCAAUGUCUUUUUCUUGUGAAGGUAAUUGUACUAGCGAGAGAGGUUCCAAGAAAAAGCUUAGGACACUUGCUGCUGUGAGAAGAGAAACCUGCCUUGGCAAUUGAAGAGAGGAAGGAAAAGACAAUAGUGAGGGAGUUUUUGAACUGAUAACACCGACUAUUGAGGUGUUAUUCCUCCAUACACUUUGGGUUUUGAUUUUUUUUUCUUUUUUUGGAUGAGGCAAUUUCUUGAGAAGAA